CCUACGGGGGGCAGCAGUGAGGAAUAUUGGUCAAUGGACGAGAGUCUGAACCAGCCAAGUAGCGUGAAGGAUGACUGCCCUAUGGGUUGUAAACUUCUUUUAUAUGGGAAUAAAACGUUCCACGUGUGGGAUUUUGUAUGUACCAUAUGAAUAAGGAUCGGCUAACUCCGUGCCAGCAGCCGCGGUAAUACGGAGGAUCCGAGCGUUAUCCGGAUUUAUUGGGUUUAAAGGGAGCGUAGGUGGGUUGUUAAGUCAGUUGUGAAAGUUUGCGGCUCAACCGUAAAAUUGCAGUUGAAACUGGCAGUCUUGAGUACAGUAGAGGUGGGCGGAAGUCGUGGUGUAGCGGUGAAAUGCUUAGAUAUCACGAAGAACUCCGAUUGCGAAGGCAGUUCACUGGACUGCAACUGACACUGAGGCUCGAAAGUGUGGGUAUCAAACAGGAUUAGAUACCCGUGUAGUC
rnacentral:rRNA from 1 species